rnacentral:rRNA from 1 species
UACGUAGGGGGCUAGCGUUGUCCGGAAUCAUUGGGCGUAAAGCGCGCGUAGGCGGUCAGGUAAGUCCGGUGUGAAAGUCAAAGGCUCAACCUUUGAAUGCCGCUGGAUACUGCCUGACUUGAGUCCGGAAGGGGCGAGUGGAAUUCCUGGUGUAGCGGUGAAAUGCGCAGAUAUCAGGAAGAACACCUAUGGCGAAGGCAGCUCUCUGGGACGGUACUGACGCUGAGACGCGAAAGCGUGGGGAGCGAACAGG